GGAUUUGAUCAAUUGAUAUUAGUUUCCUCAAUCUUUUGUCAUCUAUGCCUAUGAAGGACCAAAUUCGCAACAUGUGUUUAUUCUCAUCCUCUUGCUUCUCGAUCUACCACCAUCAAUACCAGCCACAUUCACUGUUAUCAUCGUCUCCUGAAAGUAAAUGGUCAGUUUUGGCAACUCCUAUACAACAAGUAAAGUAGCCCGUGAGGUUUUAACUGGAUCAAAUAGGGCAACCAAAGACCUAUAUGGGUUCACUUCAUUUUUUAUGUGUUUAGAAAUCAAAGUUCGAAUUUGGUUGUUGUUUACUUAUGUAGACCACAAGUUAGUCUGUCUAAUUCUAUUCUUUUUAAUAUUUAGGUAUAUUAAUUCUGGUAGGGAAUUAUAUUAAUGGUGCAUAUCUUUCUUCAUCAAAUUAAUUGGCCUUGUUCAAUUAUAUUUGAUUGUACCACUCAUGAUAGCAUGCUUUUCCAUAUGCAUCUUUAGUUUAUCUUGGCUGUUAUAAUUGUUUUGAUUGCAACAACAUAACUCACGGAGAAUGGUACCACCUGCUCAAAUGUGUCCCGGUACCGAGCUUCUGCAGGUUCUACAAGUCGAGCUUCCUUUGGUCUUCUAUGUAUUGAUCGUUGGCAAAAUGGGUGCAACCCUUGACUGUUGGACACAUAUAUGUAUGCACAUAUCUUGAAAACAAAUUUUUAUGUUUAUUUAAUGUUCACAUGUAAUUAUAUAGCCUGCAUUUUUUU